rnacentral:tRNA from 1 species
AGUAAAGUCAGCUAAAUAAGCUCUUGGGCCCAUACCCCUAACAUGUAGGAUAAUACCCUAUCUUUACUA